AUGGACGAAAGUCUGAUGGAGCAACGCCGCGUGAGUGAAGAAGGGUUUCGGCUCGUAAAACUCUGUUGUUAAAGAAGAACAUAUCUGAGAGUAACUGUUCAGGUAUUGACGGUAUUUAACCAGAAAGCCACGGCUAACUACGUGCCAGCAGCCGCGGUAAUACGUAGGUGGCAAGCGUUGUCCGGAUUUAUUGGGCGUAAAGCGAGCGCAGGCGGUUUUUUAAGUCUGAUGUGAAAGCCUUCGGCUCAACCGAAGAAGUGCAUCGGAAACUGGGGAACUUGAGUGCAGAAGAGGACAGUGGAACUCCAUGUGUAGCGGUGAAAUGCGUAGAUAUAUGGAAGAACACCAGUGGCGAAGGCGGCUGUCUGGUCUGUAACUGACGCUGAGGCUCGAAAGUAUGGGUAGCAAACAGGAUUAGAUACCCUGGUAGUCCAUACCGUAAACGAUGAAUGCUAAGUGUUGGAGGGUUUCCGCCCUUCAGUGCUGCAGCUAACGCAUUAAGCAUUCCGCCUGGGGAGUACGGCCGCAAGGCUGAAACUCAAAGGAAUUGACGGGGGCCCGCACAAGCGGUGGAGCAUGUGGUUUAAUUCGAAGCUAC
rnacentral:rRNA from 2 species